CCUGCCCAUAGCUCAGUGGUAGAGCAUCUGCUUUGCAAGUAGAAGGUCUCAGGUUCAAUCCCCAGCAUCUCUAGGUAGGA